AGCGCACCAAUGUUGUACGAUUGAGAACCUCUGUCGGAGCUUUCUGCUAACAUAUGGAGUCAGAGUUGGAACUGAGAUUUUGCUUCGCAUGUUUAAGCUGUCUCGCAGACAGUCCUACUCUUCCUUGCUCGAUCUUAAGUGCAAUCUGCAACAAGGGAUGGAGGGAAAUCCUAUUGCUGAAAUCAUCCAACCCAUCGAUAUGAUGAAGUUGAGAAUUCAAUUGGGUCUGGGAUCAGCUGGACAAGUUGCCAGGACCAUGAUCAAGGAGGAGGGUUUUGGUUCAUUGUAUAAGGACCUGAGUAACCAACCUAGGUUAUUGCAAACCCAACUUUCCGAAAUAAAGAAGAAAUUAAGGUGAAUGCUAGAAAAUUGGGCUGUUGGACGAACCCUGAUAAGAUCAACAAUGUAGAUCAGUUGGGGCAAAUGGAAGAUUCAAUUCGAGAAUCGCGUAACCAGAUUCAAACACAUAAGUGUUAUGAACCUCUUCGGUGUUCUCAAGUAUAAGAAGAUGGGGGAAGACGUUCUUUGUAAUUCUGGUCUACCAUUUACAAUAAUCAGGUUUCGAAACAUUCUAAGAAACUAAACUAGGGCAGCUUACUAAUAAGCUGUAUAUUCUUAAAAUUGUUGUUUAUCAUGAAUAUAAGUUAUAUGUCUUUCAGGGCUGGUAGAUUGACAG